CGGGUGCGUAACGCGUAUACAAUCUACCUUUACAGAGGAUAGCCCAGAGUAAUUGGAUUAAUACCUACAUAGUAUUUUCGGAUCGCAUGAUUUGAUUAUUAAAGUUCCAACGGUUAAAAGAUGAGUAUGCGUCCCAUUAGCUAGAUGGUAAGGUAACGGCUUACCAUGGCAAUGAUGGGUAGGGGUCCUGAGAGGGAGAUCCCCCACACUGGUACUGAGACACGGACCAGACUCCUACGGGAGGCAGCAGUGAGGAAUAUUGGACAAUGGGCGCAAGCCUGAUCCAGCCAUGCCGCGUGCAGGAAUAAGGUCCUAUGGAUUGUAAACUGCUUUUAUACAGGAAGAAACACACCCUCGUGAGGGUACUUGACGGUACUGUAUGAAUAAGGACCGGCUAACUCCGUG
rnacentral:rRNA from 1 species